rnacentral:rRNA from 1 species
UACAGAGGUGGCAAGCGUUGUUCGGAAUUACUGGGCGUAAAGGGCGCGUAGGCGGCCUUCUAAGUCAGACGUGAAAUCCCCCGGCUUAACCUGGGAACUGCGUCUGAUACUGGAUGGCUUGAGUUUGGGAGAGGUGAGUGGAACUGCGAGUGUAGAGGUGAAAUUCGUAGAUAUUCGCAAGAACACCAGUGGCGAAGGCGGCUCACUGGCCCGAUACUGACGCUGAGGCACGAAAGCGUGGGGAGCAAAGCAGG